AACGAACGCUGGCGGCAGGCCUAAAACAUGCAAGUCGAACGAUCUAGCAAUAGAUAGUGGCGCACGGGUGAGCAACACGUGGGAAUAUCCCUUUCACUACGGAACAACGUCGGGAAACUGACGCUAAUACCGUAUAAUGUCUCCGGACCAAAGAUUUAUCGGUGAAAGAUUAGCCCGCGUCUGAUUAGCUAGUUGGUGAGGUAACGGCUCACCAAGGCAACGAUCAGUAGCUGGUCUGAGAGGAUGAUCAGCCACACUGGAACUGAGACACGGUCCAGACUCCUACGGGAGGCAGCAGUUAGGAAUAUUGGACAAUGGGGGCAACCCUGAUCCAGCCAUGCCGCGUGUGUGACGAAGGCCUUAGGGUUGUAAAGCACUUUCGUCUACGAAGAUAAUGACAGUAGUAGAAGAAGAAGCUCCGGCUAAAUUCGUGCCAGCCGCCGCAGUAA
rnacentral:rRNA from 1 species